rnacentral:lncRNA from 1 species
CUUUUCCCGCACCGGUGGCCGGACUCUGCAUGAGUCACCGCCUGCCUGCAAGCCCAGAGCUCGCCGCACCCCCCUGCCUCUCCGCACCGUCCCACAGGCUGUGACCCUCCACCCAGCCAUAGACGGUUCUGCUCUUGGCACAAAGGAGGGCUUCUUAGCCGGGAAUAUGGCUGCCCGGGAGGGGCGACUUCUGUGCUUGUUUUUCCUUCCUGGCACUGAAAACAAGCACAUCCACCCAACAAAUAAAGACGCGGUCAAUGAAAGCAGCUGUGUUUCAAGGGGAGACAGGGAGCAAGCCAAGGAAUAAAUGAAAAGACCCAGUGACAAAAUGCCCAUUCAUCGGGUUCACUCGGCAAACAUUUACUGAAGCAUCUGUGUGCCAGGCACUGUCCUGAGUGCUGGGAAGACACAAAGAUGCCCUUCAGAACGAUGACCCCCGCCUCGCCCUCCGCUGGAACCGGGAGGCAGACACACACAUAAAUACGACACAGUCAACCGUCCCCAGUUCACAGCAUCUAAAGGAGCUAGGAAUGCAUGGGAUGCUUAUGGAAUGUGCGAGAACACGGAGACAAAGUCUCACUGUGUUCCCAGGCUGAUCCCCAACUCCUGAGCUCAAGCCAGCCACCAGCCUUGGCCUCCCAAAGUGCUGGGAUUACAGGCGUGAGCCACCACGCCGGGCCCAGAUGAACAGUCUUAUGAAUCAAUUUCAUUUCCAAGAGCCCUGUUGGAGAAAAGAGGAAGGUAUGGAAAAGAGUGAAAUUGGCAUAAAAAAUCCAAUAAAGGGCAACGAGCAGGAAACAACAAAAACAUGGGAAACUGCCGACCUGAGGAAUCGCGCUCUUCUAACUUUACAGCUUCACCUGCCGUGUUUGCUCCUGGAGGACUGAGACUUUUGUCUGAUUCGUCUGCUGCUGUCUUCCCGAUGCCUAGAACACUGCCUGAUGCACGGGAAGUAUUUGUCAGAUACAUCCCAUGGCUUCUAAUGCCAUUUGCAAGGAUGAAAGCUGGGUGUGCCCGGCUGUACGGCAAUACUUCCAAAGGCCUGUAGGACUCCCCAGUGACUGUCCCAUUCACCAGGAGGAGGACUGCAGUCACCUGCAUUGUCCUGGGAAGGUCAGCCAGGCCUUUUCCCAAUGUCUGUCUGGGAAAAGCCCCGGUGUAGUCUGCUCGGUCCUACACCCAGAAUCACGGGGGCUUCAGGAGCAGGCAUUACGAGGCAAGGAGUAGCUUCUCCCCCUCACCUCCCACUCAGCAGAACGCACUAGCCCUGUGCUCUUCUGAUCCUGAAGGCAGCUGAGUCUGAAAAGUUCCUGUACCUUUAAAGGUACUAGAGGCAGUGUGGUGCCCACUCAGGAACUGCAUGAUUUAAAUAGGUUUCUAGGAUAAAGGCAACUCGUAGCACAAAGGAACAAGUCCCAGGGAGUGGCAUUCCAGAUCAUUUGAUUCCUGAGCGAAGGAAUUAUUAUGGUGUGGAGGUGGGGACCUCCUUACUACAUUCCAAAUUGCAAUAAGGUUGUAAGGGUUUUCUCUUCCAUUCUGAAGUACUUUGACAAUAGUUUUGAACUUCAAAAAUGUUUAUUAAAGGUGUUUUCACAGCAGUUUCAUAAUGUUUAAUUUGUUAAUUACUGGAAUUGAUGCUAAAUAAAACAGGCAAGUAAUACUUCAGAUGGCUUCAUCUUCAGAGUCUUCUUCAUGUGUGACUCAAAAUGCACAAUUUUGGCCGGGCACAGUGGCUCACGCCUGUAAUCCCAGCACUUUGGGAGGCUGAGACAGGCGGAUCACCUGAGGUCAGGAGUUUGAGACCAGUUUGGCCAACAUGGUGAAACCCCAUCUCUACUAAAAAUACAAAAAUUAGAUGGGCAUGGUGGUGUGUGCCUGUAAUCCCAGCUGCUUGGGAAGCUGAGGCAGGAGAAUUGAUUGAACCCAAGAGGCGGGGCUUGCAGUGAGCCGAGAUCCCGCUCCAGCCUGGGCAACAAGAGCGAGACUCCGUCUCAAAAAAAGAAAAAAAAAGCACAAUUUCAGGACAGCCUAAGCAAAUAAAAAAUGGGAAAUGGAAAUGGAUUCGAAGCAGGGAGGACGUUCCGCCCACUGUCACACCGAAGGAAUGGUGGAGGCUGUGAGUCCUCCGCCCACUGUCACACCGAAGGAUGGUGGAGGCUGUGAGUCCUCCUGUAAGCCGCCGCUGGAGAAGGGGCAGCUCUGGAACCUGACGACAUUCUCCUAUCUUGCAUGAGGUGGAGACAAAGAGUCCUUCUGCGCUGGGACAGGAUGAGGGCGAAGUGGUGACUUCAGGUCAGAAGCAGAGCCUUGGGGACCUCUGAUUCUCAAGGGCGAGCUCCCUCCAGAACCCCAAGAGAUGGCCCUGACUGCAUGGGAAAGCGUGUCUCACCAUUGCAAUGUUCUCUAAGUCUGGAGGAGGCGGAGCCCAGUGAGAAUGACAGGCAGACCGCAAGGAGGCCCGGAAGCCCCCCAUGGCGAGGAUGCAUCCAAGUGUAUUCUGUAGGAGUGACCAGUGGCCACGUGGGUAGUGGGCAGAGCUUGUUUUCCUCCAAUAUCAGCGUACAGAGCAGGGGAGCCUGGUGAAGGUUUCUCUCUGAAAUCAUGGAUUCAGCUGUAUUAGUUUCUAUCCAAGGCUGGCAUAGCUCACCUUCCACUCCAGCAAUGACCUCGGGCCAGCUGUCACGAGCCUUCUCACCACGAGGAUGGUCUGGGGUGGUGAGAUCUCACUGUUGGCCAUAAUUCAUUCAACAUUUCUUCACUUCUCUGCUUAAUUUUGGUCGAAUGUCAUGC